rnacentral:misc_RNA from 1 species
UAUCCGUUGGUGAACCAGCGGAGGGAUCAUUACAGGACUCGCAAGACUCCUACAACCCUGUGAACUUAACUAUAAGCACGUUGCUUCGGCGGGUGUCUCGGAGGGGGUUCUCCCUCCCCGAGACGCUAAACCCGCCGGCAGCCUACUAUACUCUGUCUCUUUGCGUUGGCAUCUCGAGCACAAUCAAACAAGUUAAAACUUUCAACAACGGAUCUCUUGGUUCUG